AUUCUCUGACAGCCGUGUUAUUAUGGAAGCCACGCAACUUCUAGACAAAACCUGCUCUUCAAUAGCAUUCACACACUACUAUUGGCCCGGCGUCUACGCUCACGCAAGGUAGCGUAACCCGAUUUGUUCAGGUCCCCCAACCAAUCGGCCUGUUUUAUAGGGCGGGUCUUUCCUAGAAGUUACGUGGGAUCCA